UACAGAGGGGGCAAGCGUUGUCCGGAAUUAUUGGGCGUAAAGAGCUCGUAGGCGGCUUGUCGCGUCUGUUGUGAAAGCCCGGGGCUUAACCCCGGGUCUGCAGUGGAUACGGGCAGGCUAGAGGCAGGUAGGGGAGAACGGAAUUCCCGGUGUAGCGGUGAAAUGCGCAGAUAUCCGAAGGAACACCGGUGGCGAAGGCGGCUUCCUGGACCGACACUGACGCUGAGGCGCGAAAGCUAGGGGAGCAAACGGG
rnacentral:rRNA from 1 species